rnacentral:rRNA from 1 species
UACGUAGGGUGCAAGCGUUAAUCGGAAUUACUGGGCGUAAAGCGUGCGCAGGCGGUUGGGCAAGACCGAUGUGAAAGCCCCGGGCUUAACCUGGGAAUGGCAUUGGUGACUGCACGGCUAGAGUGUGGCAGAGGGGGGUAGAAUUCCACGUGUAGCAGUGAAAUGCGUAGAGAUGUGGAGGAAUACCGAUGGCGAAGGCAGCCCCCUGGGAUAACACUGACGCUCAUGCACGAAAGCGUGGGGAGCAAACAGG